AUUUAAGUAGCUUAACUAAAGCAUAUCUCUGAAGAAGAUAAGAUGAAAAUUCCCCCUUAAAUA
rnacentral:tRNA from 1 species